ACGGUAGCACAGAGGAGCUUGCUCCUUGGGUGACGAGUGGCGGACGGGUGAGUAAUGUCUGGGAAACUGCCCGAUGGAGGGGGAUAACUACUGGAAACGGUAGCUAAUACCGCAUAACGUCGCAAGACCAAAGAGGGGGACCUUCGGGCCUCUUGCCAUCGGAUGUGCCCAGAUGGGAUUAGCUAGUAGGUGGGGUAACGGCUCACCUAGGCGACGAUCCCUAGCUGGUCUGAGAGGAUGACCAGCCACACUGGAACUGAGACACGGUCCAGACUCCUACGGGAGGCAGCAGUGGGGAAUAUUGCACAAUGGGCGCAAGCCUGAUGCAGCCAUGCCGCGUGUAUGAAGAAGGCUUUCGGGUUGUAAAGUACUUUCAGCGAGGAGGAAGGUGUUGUGGUUAAUAACUGCAGCAAUUGACGUUACUCGCAGAAGAAGCACCGGCUAACUCCGUGCCAGCAGCCGCGGUAAUACGGAGGGUGCAAGCGUUAAUCGGAAUUACUGGGCGUAAAGCGCACGCAGGCGGUCUGUCAAGUCGGAUGUGAAAUCCCCGGGCUCAACCUGGGAACUGCAUCCGAAACUGGCAGGCUAGAGUCUUGUAGAGGGGGGGUAGAAUUCCAGGUGUAGCGGUGAAAUGCGUAGAGAUCUGGAGGAAUACGGUGGGCGAUGCGGCCCCUGACAAAGACUGACGCUCAGUGCGAAAGCGUGGGGAGCAAACAGAUUAGAUACCCUG
rnacentral:rRNA from 1 species